rfam:Schistosoma mattheei strain Denwood, Zambia genome assembly, scaffold: SMTD_contig0011634
AUCCAUCUGACGAGUCUCAAAUAGGGCGAAACUCGCGUCCUCGAU